GAACGCUGGCGGCAGGCUUAACACAUGCAAGUCGAGCGGAAACGAAGGUAGCUUGCUACCAGACGUCGAGCGGCGGACGGGUGAGUAAUGCUUAGGAAUCUACCGAGUAGUGGGGGAUAGCCAUUGGAAACGAUGAUUAAUACCGCAUAUAUCCUACGGGGGAAAGCAGGGGACCUUCGGGCCUUGCGCUAUUCGAUGAGCCUGAGUGAGAUUAGCUAGUUGGUGGGGUAAAGGCCUACCAAGGCGACGAUCUCUAGCUGGUCUGAGAGGAUGAUCAGCCACACUGGGACUGAGACACGGCCCAGACUCCUACGGGAGGCAGCAGUGGGGAAUAUUGCACAAUGGACGAAAGUCUGAUGCAGCCAUGCCGCGUGUGUGAAGAAGGCCUUCGGGUUGUAAAGCACUUUCAGCGAGGAGGAAAGGUCAGUAAGUAAUAUUUGCUGGCUGUGACGUUACUCGCAGAAGAAGCACCGGCUAAUUUAGUGCCAGCAGCCGCGGUAAUACUAAAGGUGCAAGCGUUAAUCGGAAUUACUGGGCGUAAAGCGCGCGUAGGUGGUUUGUUAAGUUGGAUGUGAAAGCCCAGGGCUCAACCUUGGAACUGCAUUCAAAACUGACUCACUAGAGUACGAGAGAGGUUAGUGGAAUUUCCUGUGUAGCGGUGAAAUGCGUAGAGAUGGGAAGGAACACCAGUGGCGAAGCGACUGACUGGCUCGAUACUGACACUGAGGUGCGAA
rnacentral:rRNA from 1 species